GAUGAACGCUGACAGAAUGCUUAACACAUGCAAGUCAACUUGAACUUCGGUUUGGGUGGCGGACGGGUGAGUAACGCGUAAAGAACUUGCCUCACAGCUAGGGACAACAUUUGGAAACGAAUGCUAAUACCUGAUAUUAUGAUUUUAGGGCAUCCUAGAAUUAUGAAAGCUAUAUGCGCUGUGAGAGAGCUUUGCGUCCCAUUAGCUAGUUGGAGAGGUAACGGCUCACCAAGGCGAUGAUGGGUAGCCGGCCUGGGAGGGUGAACGGCCACAAGGGGACUGAGACACGGCCCUUACUCCUACGGGAGGCAGCAGUGGGGAAUAUUGGACAAUGGACCAAGAGUCUGAUCCAGCAAUUCUGUGUGCACGAUGAAGUUUUUCGGAAUGUAAAGUGCUUUCAGUUGGGAAGAAAAAAAUGACGGUACCAACAGAAGAAGUGACGGCUAAAUACGUG
rnacentral:rRNA from 1 species